GAGGGUAUAACUCAGUGGUAGAGCUCAUGCUUAGCAUGCACCAGGUCCUGGGUUCAAUCCCCAGUCCCUCCU
rnacentral:tRNA from 1 species